UUUUGAAAACCAUAAAAACAUGAAGGGCAUAAAUUAUAAAUAACUCAUCAACUUAAAACCAAAUAAAAUCCCCCUUUUUAAACCCUAAAACUCAUUUUCUUUCUUUCUUUGAUACUGCCGUCUUGCUCUCCCUCUGAAAAACUCUUUCCCUGCUCCAAUGGCGACGAAAUAAAGGAGCUUCAACGACGCCACGCCGAACGAACGUGCAUAGUAGACGCAAGGGAUCGUUGAUCGUGGGUGAUUGCGUCGUGGGGUGAUGGAACCGUUGCUGAACGUGGGCAAGGUGCGACGUGGGGCGAUGGGCAGUUGCUGCGGUGGCUGAGAUGCUGCUAACUGCUAGGGUUGCUACUAUCCUUUGAAAAUUUUUACUUUGGGCCACACUGUAAUUGGGCUAAGAUUUAGGGUCAAUGAUUUGGAUUUAAUUGAUUUUUAAUCAGGCCAAAAUUGGCCUAUUACAAUUAUUAUUAAAUAUAAUUUAAUAAAAAUAUAUAAUUUAAUAAAAUUCUUAAUAUUAAA